rnacentral:rRNA from 1 species
UCAGGAUGAACGCUGGCGGCGUGCCUAACACAUGCAAGUCGAACGGGACUAUCAAGUGAUGUUUCGGACUGAACUUUUAGUUAGUGGCGGACGGGUGAGUAACGCGUGGACAACCUGCCUCUCACUGGGGGAUAGCAGUUGGAAACGGCUGGUAAUACCGCAUGCGUUCAAUGUGCCGCAUGACACAUUGAAGAAAGAUUUAUCGGUGAGAGAUGGGGUCCGCGUCUGAUUAGCUAGUUGGUAGGGUAGAGGCCUACCAAGGCAACGAUCAGUAGCCGGCCUGAGAGGGUGGACGGCCACACUGGGACUGAGAACGGCCCAGACUCCUACGGGAGGCAGCAGUGGGGGAAUAUUGCGCAAUGGGGGGAAACCCUGACGCAGCGACGCCGCGUGAGCGAAGAAGGCCUUCGGGUUGUAAAGCUCUGUUGUAAGGGACGAAUGUCUAGGGUAGUAACUGACCUUAGAAUGACGGUACCUUACCAGCAAGCCCCGGCUAACUACGUGCCAGCCGCAGC